GAUGUCAUUGACUUAUAAUCGACAGUCGACACUGUACUGUUCGUUUAUUUCAGUAUUGUAUUUGUAUCUCGGGCCGUACAACGUGGUUAACGGGUGACCUCUUUGUGGUGUGAAGUAUAGACUUCAUUGUAGAGUAAAUGUAACGUUGUUCUUCUUGUGUAAUGUUCUCGAAAAGUGUUAUUUUUAGACGUAGAUUGUUAAGGCUACUACUGGGCGAAACUUGCUCAAGUUUUGCUAGUUGAAGUGAAGGGGACCUUGGAGCUUCAUGCACCUCUCGACGACACAAGCGCUACAGUUACUGGAUAGCUCUAAUUUUAGUGCGAGUUAUAACAAUUUGAAGGAAAUAGUUUCAGGUAAAAGCAGAAGAGACCAUAGAAACAGAAGCUGGUGUCCUAGCCUCUAUGGAAUUUGGUGCCAAUAAAUCGUGGGAUCGGAUAGUCUUCCUCCCCAGCUGCUGAGGAACUACACUUGGAGAUUCAUAGCCAAUGAUUUUUAACUUUAUUGAAAAACUGAAAAGGUACUGAAAUGAUCUGGUAGCAGUUAUAACAGAGACUUGGCAUUAUCAGUUGCUGAUUUGAAAUAUGAACGGUUAGCAUAUGAAAAUUUUCUCUCUCCCUCUGAAAAUUUUCUCUCUCUGUCCUGUAGUGAUAUGUUCUAUUGUGAUAUGCAGUUAAUAUUUUCCUAUUAGAACUAUUCACAGUUGAUAGACAGCAUUAUAUAAGAAUGGUGGUAGGUUGUUGUGAAGAUGUUAUAUUCAUUCGGAAUACGCCAUGAUUUUUCCGUUUCUAAUGAUGAAACUUUAACAAUGCUUUUAUAGGAGAUUGUGAAAACAAACGUACCAUUAAUCAUAAACGCUACAUUAUUAGCAGUUGAAUCGUUUGCCUAAAAAAGAUGUCGAUUGUUAUUUUAUAAAAAUUGCCAAUCCUUUUUCAUAAUGAUAAAUUCAAGAACACUUAAAAUCAUCCUUCAUUGAUCACAGGUUUAAAUCAACGCCGUUUUGCUAUUACCAUUUCCAUUCUAACAAGUUUUUUCUCUCAAAUUUUUAUUUCAUAAAUUAUUUACAAAACAUUACAAGAAAUCCACAACUACAUACCCUUUCAUCUAGAAUACAUUGCUCUUUAAUGUUAAAAAAAUUCUUUGAAUAAUUGAGGCAAACACUUAUGUUCUGGUGUUAGGGUGUUCAACGCUUGAACGACCACCAAUGACACCCAACUAGAACUACCGAUUGGUCAAAAUGACCGUAUACAUGUAUUCACAUUGUAAAAAAAAAAUCUGCAUUUUCGCUUAUCGAAACUUCCUAAGUCAUUGGUGUAUAAUCAUUCACAGCAAGGAGAUAGAAUACUGUUGUUGAUAAUUAGCAGUAAUGCAGCAUCCAACAAUUAUCACACUAAACAUUACACAAUUUUCAUCAAAAUUAUUAUUUGCUGAAUUGAAACAUUAUUUGCUGCACUGAAAUAAAUACAUUGUAAGGAAUUA